ACGAACGCUGGCGGCGUGCUUAACACAUGCAAGUCGAACGGAAAGGCCCUGCUUUUGUGGGGUGCUCGAGUGGCGAACGGGUGAGUAACACGUGAGUAACCUGCCCUUGACUUUGGGAUAACUUCAGGAAACUGGGGCUAAUACCGGAUAGGAGCUCCUGCUGCAUGGUGGGGGUUGGAAAGUUUCGGCGGUUGGGGAUGGACUCGCGGCUUAUCAGCUUGUUGGUGGGGUAGUGGCUUACCAAGGCUUUGACGGGUAGCCGGCCUGAGAGGGUGACCGGCCACAUUGGGACUGAGAUACGGCCCAGACUCCUACGGGAGGCAGCAAUGGGGAAUAUUGCACAAUGGGCGGAAGCCUGAUGCAGCAACGCCGCGUGCGGGAUGACGGCCUUCGGGUUGUAAACCGCUUUCGCCUGUGACGAAGCGUGAGUGACGGUAAUGGGUAAAGAAGCACCGGCUAACUACGUG
rnacentral:rRNA from 1 species